rnacentral:lncRNA from 1 species
AAAUUUCCGGGUUUAAAUAUUUCUUUUUUUUUUCUUUGAGGGAGACAUAAUCAUAGUUUUAAGUUGUGUUUGGGUUCAUGGUGAUGCCAUAGAGCUCAGUGACCUAAAAAUUUCACCUGUCGUAUGAGGAUGGAGCCAUCACUUAAGAAGUCAGGAUUGCAUUGCAACUCAAGGUCCUAGUUGACGGUGAUUAUACGGUCAUGAGUUCUAGUGUAACUAGGGUUUCAAGUUUACAAAGGUUAUACUGUCAAGGGAUAGAGUAUAGCUAGGGGACCUAGUUGGCAGUG